rnacentral:rRNA from 1 species
AUAUUGCACAAUGGGCGNNANNNUGANGCAGCUAUGCCGCGUGUAUGAAGAAGGCCUUAGGGUUGUAAAGUACUUUCAACAAGAAAGAAAUAAUAAAAUUUAAUAAAUUUUAUUACUGACGUUACUUGUAAAAGAAGCACCGGCUAACUCCGUGCCAGCAGCCGCGGUAAUACGGAGGGUGCGAGCGUUAAUCGGAAUUACUGGGCGUAAAGAGCACGUAGGCGGUAUAUUAAGUCAGAUGUGAAAUCCCUGAGCUUAACUUAGGAAUUGCAUUUGAAACUGAUAUACUUGAGUUUCAUAGAGGGGGGUAGAAUUCCAGGUGUAGCGGUGAAAUGCGUAGAUAUCUGGAGGAAUACCAGUGGCGAAGGCGGCCCCCUGGAUGAAUACUGACGCUGAGGUGCGAAAGCAUGGGUAGCAAACAGGAUUAGAUACCCUGGUAGUCCAUGCUGUAAACGAUGUCGACUUGGAGGUUGUAAGCUUGACUUGUAACUUUCGUWRCUAACGCGUUAAGUCGACCGCCUGGGGAGUACGACCGCAAGGUUAAAACUCAAAUGAAUUGACGGGGGCCCGCACAAGCGGUGGAGCAUGUGGUUUAAUUCGAUGCAACGCGAAAAACCUUACCUGGUCUUGACAUCCAUGGAAUUUAGUAGAGAUACUUUAGUGCCUUCGGGAACCAUGAGACAGGUGCUGCAUGGCUGUCGUCAGCUCGUGUUGUGAAAUGUUGGGUUAAGUCCCGCAACGAGCGCAACCCUUGUCCUUUGUUGCCAACGGUUCGGCCGGGAACUCAAAGGAAACUGCCGGUGAUAAACCGGAGGAAGGUGGGGACGACGUCAAGUCAUCAUGGCCCUUACGACCAGGGCUACACACGUGCUACAAUGGUAUAUACAAAGGGAAGCAUCCUCGCGAGAGUAAGCGGAUCUCACAAAAUAUAUCGUAGUUCGGAUUGGAGUCUGCAACUCGACUCCAUGAAGUCGGAAUCGCUAGUAAUCGUAGAUCAGAACGCUACGGUGAAUACGUUCCCGGGCCUUGUACACACCGCCCGUCACACCAUGGAAGUGAGUUGUNAAAGAAGUNAGUNGC